rnacentral:rRNA from 1 species
UACGUAGGGGGCGAGCGUUGUCCGGAAUCAUUGGGCGUAAAGCGCGUGUAGGCGGCCCGGUAAGUCCGCUGUGAAAGUCCAGGGCUCAACCCUGGGAUGCCGGUGGAUACUGUCGGGCUAGAGUCCGGAAGAGGAGUGUGGAAUUCCUGGUGUAGCGGUGAAAUGCGCAGAUAUCAGGAGGAACACCAAUGGCGAAGGCAGCACUCUGGGACGUGACUGACGCUGAGGCGCGAAAGCUAGGGGAGCAAACGGG